rnacentral:rRNA from 1 species
UACGUAGGGGGCAAGCGUUGUCUGGAUUUACUGGGCGUAAAGAGCGCGUAGGCGGAAGCUUAAGCGGUGCCUGAAAGCCCCCGGCUCAACCGGGGAGGGUGGUGCCGAACUGGGCUUCUUGAGGGCGAUAGAGGAGAGUGGAAUUCCGGGUGUAGCGGUGAAAUGCGUAGAGAUCCGGAGGAACACCAAAGGCGAAGGCAGUGUCCUGGGGAGUACCUGACGCUCAGGUGCGAAAGCCAGGGGAGCGAACGGG